rnacentral:rRNA from 1 species
UACGAAGGGGGCUAGCGUUGUUCGGAAUUACUGGGCGUAAAGCGCGUGUAGGCGGGUCUUUAAGUCAGGGGUGAAAUGCCAAGGCUCAACCUUGGAACUGCCUUUGAUACUGGAGACCUUGAGUCCGGGAGAGGUGAGUGGAAUUGCGAGUGUAGAGGUGAAAUUCGUAGAUAUUUGCAAGAACACCAGUGGCGAAGGCGGCUCACUGGCCCGGAACUGACGCUGAGACGCGAAAGCGUGGGGAGCAAACAGG